rnacentral:miRNA from 1 species
UUCGAUCCAGAUGCAACCGAA